GAAGGGCACACGGUGGAUGCCUAGGCAUACAGAGGCGAUGAAGGACGUGUAAAGCUGCGAUAAGCUACGGGGAGCUGCACAAGAGCUGUGAUCCGUGGAUUUCCGAAUGGGGCAACCCAUCCCGCUUGCGGGAUAUCCUUUCGAGGAGGCAUACCAGUCGAACUGAAACAUCUAAGUAGGCUGAGGAAGAGAAAACAAUAGUGAUUCCCUAAGUAGUGGCGAGCGAACGGGGAGCAGUCCAAACCGGGCCCUACGGGGUUCGGGGUUGUAGGACCUGCAUAAUUCAAUUAAUCUUAAAUCGAAGCUGCCUGGAAAGCAGCGCCACAGAAGGUGAAAGCCCUGUAGGUGUACCGAUUAGUUGAUGGCGGGUAUCCUGAGUAGCGCGGGGCCGGUGAAACCCUGCGUGAAUCUGCCGGCACCAUCCGGUAAGGCUAAAUACAUCUGUAUGACCGAUAGUGAACUAGUACCGUGAGGGAAAGGUGAAAAGAACCCCCAGAAGGGGAGUGAAAAGACCCUGAAACCGUGCGCUUACAAGCGGUCGGAGCCUUCGGGUGACGGCGUGCCUUUUGCAUAAUGAGCCUACGAGUUACACCUUACUAGCAAGUUUAAGGCCUUCAGGGCUGUAGGCGAAGCGAAAGCGAGUCUGAAUAGGGCGAGAGCUAGUAGGGGUAGACGCGAAACCCGGUGAUCUAUCCAUGGGCAGGUUGAAGGUUGGAUAGUCUCCAACUGGAGGACCGAACCGGUACAUGUUGAAAAAUGUUCGGAUGACCUGUGGAUAGGGGUGAAAGGCCAAUCAAACUCGGAGAUAGCUGGUUCUCCGCGAAAUCUAUUUAGGUAGAGCGUCUCGUAUUACCUUCGGGGGUAGAGCACUGGAUGGGCUAGGGGGUCCCAACGACUUACCAAACCUAACCAAACUCCGAAUACCGAAGAGUAGAGCGAGGCAGACACACUGCGGGUGCUAAGGUCCGUAGUGGAGAGGGAAACAGCCCUGACCGCCAGCUAAGGUCCCUAAGUUAUCACUAAGUGGGAAACGAUGUGGGAAUGCUUAGACAACCAGGAGGUUGGCUUAGAAGCAGCCAUCCUUUAAAGAUAGCGUAACAGCUCACUGGUCUAAACAAGUUGUCCUGCGGCGAAGAUGUAACGGGGCUCAAGCCAUGAGCCGAAGCUGAGGAUGCACAUAGUGCAUGGUAGCGGAGCGUAGUGUG
rnacentral:rRNA from 1 species